CAACAAGGACCUCUUCAAUCUCUUUUUCCUGACAGUAUCCAUUUGGAUUUCGAUACUUUUCAAGAAUAAAUAGCACUGGAAAUUUCAGUGCUUCCAACUUUGCAGAAAUGUGGGAUGGCCAAGUCUCAGAGUGCUAAGCUUCAAGGAUCAUGUCAGCACCAGCUCAAAGUUCCAGUUUUCUGAACAUUGUAUCCUGUGAGCAAGAGACUCUGUCCAACCUCUCUUCAGUCAAGUCUGGACCCAAUAAGACAGCAGUCUCAAGGACAAUUAAUGAUAGAUCAUGCCAAUCCACAUUGAAAUAGUGACAACAUUCAAGUCUUCAAGCAGUACAUUUCCAGUUUCUCGAACUGACUCAGUCCCAUGUCUUCCGUCAAGUGUGGACUCAUUACUGUUGUUCAACCAGACAAGCGGCCCUGAUUGAUGUUUAUGUCAUCAUUGAUUAUCCUGAAUUUAUAUGGACACAUUUUAUUUCCAAGAUCAACACGUCUUUGUGAGUACACUGGUCAAGUUAUUGGAUCAGCUCAGACUGUUUUAACACAGUGCCUGUGUGCAGAAUCUGUUUCUUUAAAAUCUAAUAAUUAUGGUUUGUGCCUUGAUUUACUAUAGACAGUAUUUAUUAGUUAAUUUAGCAAUUCCAAUAACCUGACUGAUUACUGUAAAAUCUGUGGCAAACAACUGUAAUGCCUUUUGUAUUUUACCAUAUUUU